GGUGCGUUAGUUCAGUUGGUUAGAAUACAUGCCUGUCACGCAUGGGGGCACGGGUUCGAGUCCCGUACGCACCGCAA
rnacentral:tRNA from 1 species